GCUGCGGUGUCCGAGCGGUUAAGGAGUUGGACUUGAAAUCCAUUGGGUUCUACCCGCGCAGGUUCGAAUCCUGCCCGCAGCG
rnacentral:tRNA from 1 species